rnacentral:lncRNA from 1 species
ACACUUCCAUCAAACAGUACCUGCCCCUUAGGUGUGCUAGGGAAUAAAUGAAAUGCCUGGGACAUCAUCGUUAAGUGGCAUCUGAUGCAUAAGCAGUGCCCUAGGAAUGGGGUUGCCUGCCUUGGUCUCUAAAGGAUGGGUUCAAAAGGCAAGAGCAGCACACAAGAAGAUAGCUUCAAGCAGGAGAUAAAGCUUGGCCCAGGGCCCAAAGGGGAUACGACCCUUCAGGUUGGCCCUGACCUCUGGGUUGGAUUACCAGUGACACAAUGAACAUUUCAUUAUGAGGCCAUCCCUUGAGCAAACUGACAUGCUGAAAGCUGCCCUAUGGAGAGGCUCAUGUGGCAAGGAACAGAGGGUGGCUUCUGGCCAACACCCAGUGAGGAACUCAGGCCCUCAGUCAAACAGCCUGCAAGGAACUGAACCCUGCCAAUAACCAGGCAGUGUCAGCCCCCGGCCAAUGACCACCAUGGACCUCCCUGUAGUUGAACAAAGUUGGGUUUGCUGACUGGUGGCAGUGAGGGAGAAUGCACACCACAGGGAGCUGUGCAGUGUCUCAGUAAGAAGGAGCCAUCCCGUGAGGCCGUUACUGCAAACAAGCUGAAAAUCCUGCUUUGUUUCUUUUGGACACAACAUGCUUUCCUUCAGCUUCAGUAGACGAUGAGGCCAGCACCACAUGGGCUAGAUGUACAUGAGAUGUGAGCAACCACACUUCCCCUCUGACGGGGACAGACAGCAUCACAGGACAUGAAGUUCUAAGAGGUUCAGUGACUUGUCUAAGAUUAAACAGCUAUGAAUGGAGAACUGGAGGCAAAUGCCUCAUCAUCUCUCACCUGGGCAACUGCAACAAUGAGCAGUUUGUGUCUGUGCCUGCAUCCAUCCUUCCAUCCUGUACUCCAGCAGCAGCCAGGGUGGUCUUUCAAAAAUGCAAAGCUGAUAAUGUUACUCCCCUGCUGUAAACCUUCCAGCGGUUUCCUAUUGCCUUCAGAAUAAAAUACGAAUCAUCUGGC